AAACGAUGCCGAUGUCGUGGUGCCGAAUAAUGGCGACGCGAAAGAGAAAUCGAGUAGGGCCCUGGGGAGAGUACACGCGCAAGCGAGAAAUUUAAAGGAAAUUGACGGAAGAACACCACAAGGAGUGGAGUGUGCGGCUUAAUUUGACUCAACGCGGGACAACUUACCGGGCCCGACGACCGUAUGAGUGUAACACACGAUAGGUCGAAGAGUGGUGCAUGGCCGUUAACGACGAGUGGAGUGAUCUUUGGGUUAAGUCCGUAAAUUAGUGAGACCUCAGCCGUAAGGGACAGGUGCGCAAAGCACAGGAAGGAUGGGUCAAGGACAGGUCAGUGAUGCCCUUAGAUGGUCCGGGCUGCACGCGCACUACAGUGGUCGCCGAAAUUACCUGAUAAUUUUAAAGGCGAUCGAGAGGAAAUGAGCUUUGUAAGAGGCUCAGGAACGAGGAAUUGCUAGUAAUCGCGGACUCAUUAAGACGCGAUGAAUACGUCCCUGUUCUUUGUACACACCGCCCGUCGUUAUCGAAGAUGAAGAUAGGCGCGAACGAUCUACCAGAAAGUGAGCGCAGGUCUUUAGAUCUGAUACAAGUCGUAACAAGGUAGCUGUAGGAGAACCUGUAGCUGG
rnacentral:rRNA from 1 species